AAUAGAUACCCCGGUAGUCCAUGCCGUAAACGAUGUCUACUAGCCGUUGGGGCCCUUGAGGCUUUAGUGGCGCAGCUAACGCGAUAAGUAGACCGCCUGGGGAGUACGGUCGCAAGACUAAAACUCAAAUGAAUUGACGGGGGGCCCGCACAAGCGGUGGAGCAUGUGGUUUAAUUCGAUGCAACGCGAAGAACCUUACCUGGCCUUGACAUACAGAGAACUUUCCAGAGAUGGAUUGGUGCCUUCGGGAACUCUGAUACAGGUGCUGCAUGGCUGUCGUCAGCUCGUGUCGUGAGAUGUUGGGUUAAGUCCCGCAACGAGCGCAACCCUUUUCCUUAUUUGCCAGCACUUCGGGUGGGAACUUUAAGGAUACUGCCAGUGACAAACUGGAGGAAGGCGGGGACGACGUCAAGUCAUCAUGGCCCUUACGGCCAGGGCUACACACGUGCUACAAUGGUCGGUACAAAGGGUUGCUACUGCGCGAGCAGAUGCUAAUCUCAAAAAAGCCGAUCGUAGUCCGGAUCGCAGU
rnacentral:rRNA from 1 species